UACGUAGGUGGCAAGCGUUGUCCGGAUUUACUGGGCGUAAAGAGCGCGCAGGCGGUCGUUCAAGUCGCGUGUGAAAGCCCCCGGCUCAACUGGGGAGGGUCACGCGAUACUGAUCGACUCGAAGGCAGGAGAGGGAAGUGGAAUUCCCGGUGUAGUGGUGAAAUGCGUAGAUAUCGGGAGGAACACCAGUGGCGAAGGCGACUUCCUGGCCUGUUCUUGACGCUGAGGCGCGAAAGCGUGGGGAGCAAACAGG
rnacentral:rRNA from 1 species